UACGGGAGAUGCAAGCGUUAUCCGGAAUUAUUGGGCGUAAAGAGUUUGUAGGUGGUCAAGUGUGUUUAAUGUUAAAUGUUAGAGCUCAACUCUAGAACCGCGUUAAAAACUGCUAGACUUGAGUAUGGUAGGGGUAAAGGGAAUUUCCAGUGUAGCGGUGAAAUGCGUAGAUAUUGGAAAGAACACCAAAAGCGAAGGCACUUUACUAGGCCAAUACUGACACUGAGAAACGAAAGCUAAGGGAGCAAACAGG
rnacentral:rRNA from 1 species